rnacentral:rRNA from 1 species
GCUGGCGGCGUGCCUAAUACAUGCAAGUCGAGCGAACUUGCGGGAGCUUGCUCCCAAAAGUUAGCGGCGGACGGGUGAGUAACACGUGGGCAACCUGCCCUAUAGUUUGGGAUAACUCCGGGAAACCGGGGCUAAUACCAAAUAAUACAUUCCAUCUCCUGAUGGGAUGUUGAAAGAUGGUUUCGGCUAUCGCUAUAGGAUGGGCCCGCGGCGCAUUAGCUAGUAGGUGAGGUAACGGCUCACCUAGGCGACGAUGCGUAGCCGACCUGAGAGGGUGAUCGGCCACACUGGGACUGAGACACGGCCCAGACUCCUACGGGAGGCAGCAGUAGGGAAUCUUCCACAAUGGGCGAAAGCCUGAUGGAGCAACGCCGCGUGAGUGAAGAAGGUUUUCGGAUCGUAAAACUCUGUUGUAAGGGAAGAACAAGUGCAGUAGUAACUGGCUGCACCUUGACGGUACCUUAUUAGAAAGCCACGGCUAACUACGUGCCAGCAGCCGCGGUAAUACGUAGGUGGCAAGCGUUGUCCGGAAUUAUUGGGCGUAAAGCGCGCGCAGGCGGUU